rnacentral:lncRNA from 1 species
AAAAUUAUAAAUAAACAAAUAGAUAUAAUAUUAAAAAAAACAAAUAGAAUAUAUUCCAAAAAAAAAAAGAACAAAUAAAACGUACCUAUACGUAAAACAUCAAAGUUUAGCCGACAUAAUAUACAUUUGAUCCACUAUCAUUCUUUAGACUAGCUAUGGAAAGAAAAAUAGUAUUUUUUUGAAAUUAAAAAAUUACAGGCAAUGAAAUUAAAUAUGAU